rnacentral:rRNA from 1 species
UACGGUAUAAUAAAAUCGGAGGCCCCGACUGUUUACUAAAAACACAAUUCAGAGCAAUGAUUAAUAUCAUAGUAUUCUGGAUGAAAUUUGCCCGAUGCCAUUAAUAUAAGAGAGGUAAUGGGAAACUGUUACUAAUCGAAAAUCUGGUUAAUAGCGGUCUUAACUAUGAGGAUCCUAAGGUAGCAAAAUAAAUUGGCCAUUAAAUGUGGUCUGGUAUCAAUAAUGUAACGAUGGUCUCACUGUCUCUACAACUUGCUCAGUGAAAUUGAAUUACCCGUGCAGAUGCGGGUUACCUCCAGGGGGACGGGAAGACCCUAUGCAGC